AUACUAUACUACGGCAGCACAUAUACUAAAAUUGGAUCGAUACAGAGAAGACUAGCAUGGCCCCUGCGACACACAAAUCCGUGAUGCGCUCCAUGACUGA
ensembl:snRNA U6 U6 spliceosomal RNA